AUUGAACGCUGGCGGCAGGCCUAACACAUGCAAGUCGAACGGUAACAGGGAUCAGCUUGCUGAUUCGCUGACGAGUGGCGGACGGGUGAGUAAUGUCUGGGAAACUGCCUGAUGGAGGGGGAUAACUACUGGAAACGGUAGCUAAUACCGCAUAACGUCGCAAGACCAAAGAGGGGGACCUUCGGGCCUCUUGCCAUCGGAUGUGCCCAGAUGGGAUUAGCUAGUAGGUGGGGUAACGGCUCACCUAGGCGACGAUCCCUAGCGGGUCUGAGAGGAUGACCAGCCACACUGGAACUGAGACACGGUCCAGACUCCUAUGGGCGGCAGCAGUGGGGAAUAUUGCACAAUGGGCGCAAGCCUGGUGCAGCCAUGCCGCGUGUAUGAAGAAGGCCUUCGGGUUGUAAAGUACUUUCAGCGGGGAGGAAGGGAGUAAAGUUAAUACCUUUGCUCAUUGACGUUGCCCGCAGAAGAAGCACCGGCUAACUCCGUG
rnacentral:rRNA from 1 species